UGUAGUAGUUGUAUUGGAACCUGAGUUUUUUUGCAUUUUAAUAAUCACCACAUUAAAUAGGAAAUGCCUUCUCUCCACUGCCAAAGGAUGGGUUUUUCUGCUUCAGCUGAACAAGUGCCCAAGUCCUUCAUAUAUCAGCUGUUGGUGGCUCACAGUCUGGCUUCUGAGAAGAGCAAGAGGAGGAGAGCAAGGGCUGAAUAGGAAGUUGUCGAAAGACCAGGAAGGUUCAUGUGAGGCCUCUGAAUGGGACUAUCCUCCCAGGCAGUGAUUUGUUAACAUUCAGCUGCACAUGGGUGUCCUUCUUCUGCCCCAAUGGAUUCAAAUUUAAAGAAUUACCUGUUUCUGGUCUGUCUGGAAAGGGUCAAUAGAAAACAAGAUUCCAUUGGAACAUUGAAACAUGUCAUUGCAACACCCGUGGUCAGUGUUAUGUAUCUAAAACCAUGGCCCACUUUGAAUUUAGGCCAAACAGCCCUGCCAUGACAUGACACGGUUUUCUCUUGGUUGGGCACACCACUUAGCACAGAUGAGUUUGGAGGUGGAUGGGGAUUGUGGAGAGAUCAGGUUUUAAGGCUGUUGUGGAGACUUAGUUCAGGUGUCCUCAGAGACUGGAUAGCUGAUGGCUGCUUCAUCUUGGGAAGAAUGGUCAAGACUGGAUAAUACCACUCUGAACCUCAUCUGGCCUCUGGUGGUACCUUGCAAGCCUUGGGUUUCAGAGGAUUUCCCUGGUGUUUGAGAUUCCCAAAGCAUGAGGACUGCUGCUGAGCUUUGAGUGUGCCACCACUGACAGAAAUGUGAUGCUUAGCAAGAGCCUGGAGAUAUUUCCUCCUUUAGUCCCUUGUCUAGGAUGCAGAUAUGCCACUUUUCCCCAAACUGGGAAGAUGUUUUCUUUAGUCACUCAAUACCAGAAAACAAUGCAUUGGAGAGCAAGGGUUAGGGAGAGCUCAGUCUUGCCAUCUUCCCAGCGAGGAUAUGUCCCUUCCUUUUCACUUGUGUGUUUUCCCUGAAGCUACAAACUCAGGUUGCAGUUGGAUUUACUUAGUGUAACACUGAAUAAUCUCUCUUUCAAGGGCUUUAAGUACUACACUGAAUUAGGACUUUAGAAAGGUAAAAGCCGAGCUCCCUUUGCCAAAAGAAGCUUCCAUUCAUAGUCAGGAAGUGAUCUGACAUGGACACUGAUGACCUGCUUUGUUAUCUGUAUGUGAAAUCUGGCUCUGCUGAAACCAGUGGCAAAACUGCCAUUGAUUUUAAGAGUUCUGAAUUUCAUUUUCUGUAUGUUUAUUUGCAUUACUUUUUUUUUCCUGCAAUGUCUGAUAUGUAGCCAUAGAGGUCAGGAGGAAAAUAUGAUAUGAUUGAGACACAGUUUCCAUUAUGGUAAAGGGUGGGCAGAUGUCACUGUGGGAAGAUACAUUCAGAGUUUUGCCUGGCACUUUGAAAUGCUUUUAAUUUUUUCCUACCUGCCACGCUUCAGCCUUCGAGGUUAAACUUGUGUAUGAAUGGCAGGUCUUAUUAUUUUGAGUGUUCUGUGUUUUUCUUCAUUAUUUAGACACCAAACUUGCAAAACAUUCUUCUUAGCAGGGCAAUUCGUCCUCUACUGGAUCUUAAUGAGACCAGUGCUUCCUUUCCUGGGAAGGUAUGUGCCCCUGGUGAGAGAAGCUCACCUUUCUCAAACCACAGCUAAAGCUUGUUUUUUUCACAGAAGCACAAAGCACACAGCCACUUGUAAAGGUCAGUUUCCUUAGCAUGAAGAAAAUAUACAUUUUGUAAAUGUGGGACAGACAUGUUCUGAUGUGGGUCUUGAACAGGGUUUCAGUAUAGAGAUAGCUCAUCUUUAAUUUAUAGUUACAUGCAAUUGAACCAUUCCAGGAAAAGCCAUUUUGUGGUUCUUGGGUCAGGGAAGAAGAAGAAGGAUAAAAACCUUCUACCCUAAACAAUAAUAGGACAAACAGGACAGAUCUAUGUUCCCUAAAUGAAAACUUAGUAAAGAGCUCUUAAAAUGUUUCUUAUUAUUAAAAUCACUGAGAGAUUUGUGCUAAAACUCUUUCGGGUAUCAGCUCUUCUUUCUCUGGGAAAAAGAGAAAAACUCCUUUUUUUUUUUUUUUUGUUUGCUACCUCUG